CCUUCGAUAGCUCAGUUGGUAGAGCGGUGGACUGUAGAGAGACAACGAAUCAAAACAAAUAGUGAUCCAUAGGUCGCUGGUUCAAAUCCGGCUCGAAGGA
rnacentral:tRNA from 1 species